rnacentral:snRNA from 1 species
GUGCUUACUUCAGCAGCACAUAUACUAAAAUUGGAAAAUACAGAGAAGAUCAGCAUGGCUUCUACACAAGGAUGACACGCGAAUUCGUGAAGUAUUCCAUAUUUUU